GCUUAAAGGCGCCGAGCUGGGAACACCGCGGUCAGGGCGAGGAAGCUGUAGGAGAGGUGAGGUGACUGUGGCAAAGGUGCCCAGGAGCCCUGAAAGACUUGUGCUUUGGACACAGCAAAAUCUGCAGGUUGCAGAAAGUCUAAACUGAUCCUGGCAUACCCCGAGAUGCCGACUUUUAGAGCUGAAGAUGCAAGAAAGAUCGGGACCCUGCGAUGCACCGACCACCUUCUCUCUGGUUGGCUUUCCCUUCACUAUACCUGUCUCUCGAAGUGUGUGCGCCCUGUUCCAUUGAUAGUCUUAACCUUUCGUUCCUCGCUGCGUGUUUGUGUAUGCGGAGUGUGUUAUCUUUGUUUCUAGGGUGACACACCAUUUAUUUGAGGGGCAGGCAGGGCAGAAUCACUAGUUCAAUACUCUGAAAAGCUAAAGUUAUGCCAUUUUGCUUGAGAGUGAGUGUGAGCUCUUGCCUCCGAGGAACAGUGCAGCUGACAGUUCACCUCAGGCGAGGGCAGAAGCAACAGCCAGCUUCUCGGUUCUGCCUGUGGCUCAGUUCCUACAUAAUUGAGUACCAAAUAACAUGUAAACCUCUAGGGAAGCAAAAAAGAGUAAGUCAGCUUCUACCCCCGAAGUUAUUGGAGGUAUAAUGGAGAGACUGAGACGUAAUCAAUUACAAUGUCAUCCUCAAUAAUAAUAAAAAACAUGUACUGUGUCUA